CGCAGUCAGCCGCCUGGGCGCCGAAAGCUGCUUCCUACUCCCAGUGCCGAGCGGGCCCCAGCUACUGAGCAUGCCCAGCGCAACGACGGGAGCCAGAGGAUAGCAGAGGACUUGAAGCUGCGGUUAGGCACUGAUUUCCCUUCCUAGGGGCCUAGCGUGAAAUGGAAAGGAACUAGUCAAGAGAAAGGAGGUGGUAAACUACCCAAAAACAGCACAGAAGAGGAAAUACAUGCUCCCAGACAGGGUGGACAAGGAGCCCUAAGGUCUCUAGUGCCACAUCUUUGUCAGUGGCUUGUCCCUGUCUCUAACUCAACUCUUUGAGACAAGCAGCUUUUCUAACUGAG
rnacentral:lncRNA from 1 species